UACGUAGGCAGCAAGCGUUGUUCGGAGUUACUGGGCGUAAAGGGUGCGUAGGCGGCUUUUUAAGUUUGGUGUGAAAUCUCCCGGCUCAACUGGGAGGGUGCGCCGAAUACUGAGAGGCUAGAGUGUGGGAGAGGAAAGUGGAAUUCCUGGUGUAGCGGUGAAAUGCGUAGAUAUCCGGAGGAAUACCAAAGGCGAAGGCAGUGUCCUGGAGGGUUAACUGACGCUGAGGCGCGAAAGCUAGGGGAGCGAACAGG
rnacentral:rRNA from 1 species